GCAACAGCCGCACACCUGCACUUCAGCAACCUGUUAGGCUCCAGGAUCAGCAGAGUUAGCACAAUAAACUGGGAGGAGCUGCAUCUCCCCUUCGUCAGCAACGAGGGACUCGAUAACCCGUUCACUGAGGCCGAGGUUUGGGCAGCGAUUAUGUCCUCACCGGCAGAAAAAGCACCGGGCCCUGAUGGCUUUUCAGGGAUGUUCUUUAGAUCAUGCUGGAGCCUGAUCAAAAGCGAUAUAAUGGCCGUGUUCCACCACUUCUACCAUGUAGCGGACGGCAGUUUCGCGGACCUCAACACGGCCAUGAUCGCCCUCAUCCCAAAGAAAGACGGCGCUGCCAGCAUGGGGAUUUCCGGCCUAUAA
rnacentral:rRNA from 1 species